GUAUGGCUGGCCCAGGAAGCACAGGUGCAAGCAAUUCCCUUAUGAUGCCCACAUGAGCGAAAGGGGUGGACCCUGAGUCCUCCCAUCUCUGGGCUCAUUUAAGGGCUAGCUUCAGAAGAGGAAAGGUUUCUUGGACAAAGGGACCUUCCUGAGGAGGAGUGUUUUAUUAUCAGAGACCUUUAUCACCAGGUGGAAAUGAAAAUUUAAGUUUCCAGUUACUGCUCUCUUGAACGGAGGAACUGCCACCUUUUAUAGCCGUAGAAAACAAGAACCUGUGAGACUAAAUGUUCCUGGAUAAGGAUAUAGGAGGGAAGACUAAGUCAUAAGUAUUCAGCUUUAGACAAGUUUGGCAGAUCCAGAAUCAUGAGCCACUGCAUUUUUCCUUCUUGGUGAGAAAGCUUCCAGGGACAAAAGAAAAUGUCCUCAUUUCUUCUUAUCCUGCUAGUGUAUUGAUUCUUCCUGAGAGCCAUCAUGGAGAGUAGUGCUGGGAAUGCAUUCUGUUAUUACUUUAUUACUCCAUCCUGAUCUUCAGCCUGUCCUAACUGAAUUACAACAAAGACUUCUGCACUGACUAUUUUACCAAAUAACAGAGCAAAUAAUUACAGGUUUUCUUGCAGAAUUUACUCUAAGAAAAUUACUGUUAAAGCCACUGGCUUGAGGCUAGGUAAAUCAACAUAAUGAGCUUUAUAUAAUGCUCUUUUCAGAAAUCUUCCAUAGUUUGGCUGUCAACAGUUUUUAAUCUGAGUGUCAUGAAUUGUAGAUUAUGUGGGCUAUCUUCACCUUCCAGUCCCUGCAGAAAAAACUGAAGCAAAAAAGGCAAGUUCCUGCUUCUUAGUGUCUUCCUUUACCAGGGCACGCACCUCACUCAUCAGCAGGCCCCCGUUUUCCCUAGUCUUCUUCCUUCUGCUAUAUAUCAUUACGUAAAACUUACUUUCCUGAAGUGUUUAAGUAGAUUGCUUAGUUGCUCAUGAGACAUGGUUGUUAUAUGUGGAUCCAUCGUGUGGGACAUGGAAAACCUUUAACUGAACAGUAACCCAUGCCAUAUAAAUCUUUAUGUGCAUGUAUAUUUGAUGAUUAAGUUCAGGCAUAAUGGUCUAAUCCCAGGUAAAAUGAGACUGAAGAGAGUAAUGACUGAAAAAGAGCACAGUCGGAGACACUGCCUGAGAGGUCCUCAGUUGCCUAAAUAAUGUGUGCUGAGUAAU